rnacentral:SRP_RNA from 1 species
GCCGGGCAUGGUACUGCAUGCCUGUAGUCCCAGCUACCUGGGAGACUAAAGCAGGAAAAUUGCUUGAGUCCAGGAGUUUGAGGCCACAGUGAACUAUGAACAUGCCACUGCACUCUAGCCUGGGCAACAGGCAAUAGAGUGAGACCCUAUCUCAAAAAAAAAAAAAAAAAAAGGUUCACCAUCAAUAUGUUGACCUCCCAGGAGCAGGAGACCACUAGGUUGCCUAAGGAGAGGUGAAUCGGCCCAAGUCAGAAAAAGAGCAGGCCAAAAAUCCCAUACUGAUGUGUGUAGUGGGCUAACACUUGUGAAGCCACUGUGCUCCACCCUGGGCAAUAUAACAAGACCUCAUUUCUU